rnacentral:piRNA from 1 species
UGAACAAAAGGUGUUAGUUUGCUGUA